AUUGAACGCUGGCGGCAUGCCUUACACAUGCAAGUCGAACGGUAACAGGUUAAGCUGACGAGUGGCGAACGGGGGAGUAAUGUAUCGGAACGUGCCCUGUCGUGGGGGAUAACUGCUCGAAAGAGCAGCUAAUACCGCAUACGACCUGAGGGGGAAAGCGGGGGAUCGCAAGACCUCGCGCGAUUGGAGCGGCCGAGAUCGGAUUAGGUAGUUGGUGGGGUAAAGGCUCACCAAGCCGACGACUUGUAGCUGGUCUGAGAGGACGACCAGCCACACUGGGACUGGGACACGGCCCAGACUCCUACGGGAGGCAGCAGUGGGGAAUGUUGGACAAUGGGCGCAAGCCUGAUCCAGCCAUGCCGCGUGCGGGAAGAAGGCCUUCGGGUUGUAAACCGCUUUUGUCAGGGAAGAAAAGGUUCUGGCUAAUACCUGGGACUCAUGACGGUACCUGAAGAAUAAGCACCGGCUAACUACGUG
rnacentral:rRNA from 1 species